ACUAGUUGUGCAAUGAUUAAAAUUUUGGCUGUUAACCAAAAGGUUGGUGGUUCGAAUCCACCCACUGGUU
rnacentral:tRNA from 1 species